rnacentral:lncRNA from 1 species
GAGAAGCACAAAAGAAAUGGAGAUUCGGCAAGGCUAGACAAAAUUAGCCUUUGUUGAUGUCUUUGCUCCAUUCCUGUUACACAACAAUUAGCAAAGAAAGGCAGCUGUAAUAGGCCAUUUUUGCCUGGGCCAAAACAAAAACAAAAAAGAAAAAAUAAAUAAAAAUAUUAGAAGUUCAGUCCAGUUACAAUACCAGCCCAAAUUAAAAAAACCCUAAAACCCAAUUAUAGGCCCAACAACCUAAACUUUUUUCUCAGAAAGAAACCCUAAUACCUGGCCGCCGCUCUUAGCCUCUGCCACC